UUGAUUGUAUUACAUAAUUGAUUAGAUUGCAUUACAUUACGCUCUAGUAAAUGUAACCUUAAGUUCUAUCAUAUGGAAGAAUGAAGUUUUAAAUGAGGAUGCAACUCAUAGGAUCAAUAUAGAAUGGAUGAAAGGAAGGAGUGUAACGGGUGUAUUAUGUGAUCAAAAGAUCCCUAACAAAGGUAAGUUCUAUAGGACUAUGUUAAGAUCAACUAUAUUGUAUGGGAGACAUCUAAGAUACAACAUAUCCACAAGAUGAAUG
rnacentral:misc_RNA from 1 species